UACGUAGGGCGCAAGCGUUGUCCGGAAUUAUUGGGCGUAAAGAGCUCGUAGGCGGCUUGUCACGUCGGGUGUGAAAGCCCGGGGCUUAACCCCGGGUCUGCAUCCGAUACGGGCAGGCUAGAGUGUGGUAGGGGAGAUCGGAAUUCCUGGUGUAGCGGUGAAAUGCGCAGAUAUCAGGAGGAACACCGGUGGCGAAGGCGGAUCUCUGGGCCAUUGCUGACGCUGAGGAGCGAAAGCGUGGGGAGCGAACAGG
rnacentral:rRNA from 1 species